GUGAGGAAUUUUCCGCAAUGGGCGAAAGUCUGACGGAGCAAUGCCGCGUGAAGGAUGAAGGCCUAUGGGUUGUAAACUUCUUUUCUCAGAAAAGAAUUAUGACGGUAUCUGAGGAAUAAGCAUCGGCUAACUCUGUGCCAGCAGCCGCGGUAAGACAGAGGAUGCAAGCGUUAUCCGGAAUGAUUGGGCGUAAAGCGUCUGUAGGUUGUUUAAAAAGUAUUCUGUCAAAGAUUAGGGCUUAACCCUAGAUAGGCAGAAUAAACUUUUAAGCUAGAGUUUGGUAGAGGCAGAGGGAAUUCCCGGUGGAGCGGUGAAAUGCGUAGAUAUCGGGAGGAACACCAAAGGCGAAGGCACUCUGCUGGGCCAAUACUAACACUGAGAGACGAAAGCGAGGGGAGCAAAUGGGAUUAGAAACCCCGGUAGUCC
rnacentral:rRNA from 1 species